CGCGAGAUCAGCCGGGCGGCGGAAGUGGUCGGGCGACGGGCCUAAGGUUUAGGAGCGAAGGCUCAUAUUAUUGGCCUCCGUUUGUAUUCGUGCCCAAGUUCUGCAAAUUCAAGGGUGGAGAUAAAAAGAUCACCUACAUGGGAAUUCCCUGGAGGUCCAGUGGUUAGGAUGCUUUCACUGCUGGGGCCCGGGGUUCCAUCCUUGAUCAGGGAACUAAGAUCCCACAAGCUGCGUGGGGUGGCCAAAAAAAAAAAAAAAAGAAGUCAUCUACAAAUGAAGAGCAAAACGGAUAUUUUCAGGUCUGUAAUUGACAGUCAAGAGGUACCUGCCUGGGCUUCCCUGGUGGCGCAGUGGUUAAGAAUCUGCCUGCCGAUGCAGGGGACACGGGUUCGAGCCCUGGUCCGGGAAGAUCCCACAUGCUGCGGAGCAACUAUGCCCAUGCGCCACAACUGCUGAGCCCGUGUGCCACAACUACUGAAGCCCGUGCUCCACAACAAGGGAAGCCACCGCAAUGAGAAGCCCGUGCACCGCAACGAAGAGUAGCCCCUGCUCGCCGCAACUAGAGAAAACCCACGCACACCAGCGAAGACCCAACGCAGCCAAAAAUAAAUAAAAUAAAAAUAAUAAAAAAAGGUACCUGCCUGAGAGCUCCCUCUGCUGGCCUCCCAACUCCAUUUUAAAUGAGGUUUCUCUUUAUUAAUUUUCACAAACUCAGUAAUAAAAAGACAAUUAGAAAAUGAGCAGAGGAUGAACGGACAUUUCUACAAUGAAGAUAUACAAAUGGCUGAUAAGCACACAAAAAGAUGCUCAACAUUGUUAGUCACUAGGGAAACGCAAAUCAGCUGUAUCAUGAGAUACCACUUCACACCUACUAGGAUGGCUAUAGUCAAAAAAGAUAGGUAAAUGUUGUGAGGACGUGGAGAAAUUGGAACCCUCAUACAGUGCCGGUGGGAAUGUAAAAUGAUGCAGUCACUUUGGAAAGUCUGGCAGUUCUUCAAAAGGUUAAACAUAGAGUAACCAUAUGACCCAGCAAUUCCACUCCUAGGUAUAUGCCCAAGAGAAGUGAAAAUGUGUCUACACAAAAACUUGUACAUGAUUGUUUAUAGCAGCAUUAUUCUUAAUAGCCAAGAAGUGAGAAAACACCCAAAUGCCCACCAACUCAUGAAUGGAUAAACAAAAUGUGAUAGCUCAAUACAGUGGAUACAUUAGAAUUUAUGAGAAUAUACAAUGGAAUAUUAUUUGGCAAUAAAAAGCAGUGAAGUGUACUGAUAUGUGCUACAACACGUAUGAACCUUGAAAACGUGAUGCUGGAAGAAGCCAGACCCAAAAGAUCACACAGUGCAUGAUUCUAUUUAUAUGAAAUGUCCAGAAUAGGCAAAUCCAUAGAGGCAGAAAGUAGAUUAGUGGUUGCCAGGGCCUGCAGAAGGGGGUAGUGGGUACUGCUAAAGGGUAGGGGGUUUCUUUAUGGGGUGAUGAAAAUGUUCUAAACUUGAUGUGGUGUUGGUUGCACAACUCUGAAAAUAUAUUGUAAACCAAUGAAUUGUACACUUUAAACGGGUGAAGUGUAUGGCGUGUGAAUUCUAAUCAAUAAAGCUGUUUAUAGAAA